GAAGCGGCAACAGCUCAAAUUUGAAAUCUGGCGCAAGCCCGAGUUGUAAUUUGUAGAGGAUGCUUCUGGGCAGCGGCCGGUCUAAGUUCCUUGGAACAGGACGUCAUAGAGGGUGAGAAUCCCGUAUGUGACUGGCUCGCACCCGCUACGUAGCUCCUUCGACGAGUCGAGUUGUUUGGGAAUGCAGCUCUAAAUGGGUGGUAAAUGUCAUCUAAAGCUAAAUACCGGCCAGAGACCGAUAGCGCACAAGUAGAGUGAUCGAAAGAUGAAAAGCACUUUGGAAAGAGAGUUAAAAAGCACGUGAAAUUGUUGAAAGGGAAGGGCAUGCAACCAGACUUGUCGGCGGUGUUCCGCCGGUCUUCUGACCGGUUCAUUCGCCGCCGGCAGGCCAGCAUCGUCUGGGUGCGCCGGAUAAAGGUGUCGGGAAUGUGGCCCCUCGGGGUGUUAUAGCUCGUCACACAAUACGGCGCCGCUCGGGCGAGGUCCGCGCUUCGGCUAGGAUGCUGGCGUAAUGGUUGUCUGCCGCCCGUCUUGAAACACGGACCAAGGAGUCUAACAUCUAUGCGAGUGUUCGGGUGUCAAACCCCUACGCGGAAUGAAAGUGAACGGAGGUGGGAACUUUUUGUGCACCAUCGACCGAUCCUGAUGUCUUCGGAUGGAUUUGAGUAAGAGCAUAGCUGUUGGGACCCGAAAGAUGGUGAACUAUGCCUGAAUAGGGUGAAGCCAGAGGAAACUCUGGUGGA
rnacentral:rRNA from 1 species